rnacentral:rRNA from 1 species
GGCGUGCUUAACACAUGCAAGUCGAACGGUGAAGGAGAGCUUGCUCUUUGGAUCAGUGGCGAACGGGUGAGUAACACGUGAGCAAUCUGCCCCUGACUCUGGGAUAACAGUUGGAAACAGCUGCUAAUACCGGAUAUGAGACGUGACCGCAUGGUCGACGUUUGGAAAGAAUUUCGGUCAGGGAUGAGCUCGCGGCCUAUCAGCUUGUUGGUGAGGUAAUGGCUCACCAAGGCGUCGACGGGUAGCCGGCCUGAGAGGGUGACCGGCCACACUGGGACUGAGACACGGCCCAGACUCCUACGGGAGGCAGCAGUGGGGAAUAUUGCACAAUGGGCGAAAGCCUGAUGCAGCAACGCCGCGUGAGGGACGACGGCCUUCGGGUUGUAAACCUCUUUUAGCAGGGAAGAAGCGAAAGUGACGGUACCUGCAGAAAAAGCGCCGGCUAACUACGUGCCAGCAGCCGCGGUAAUACGUAGGGCGCAAGCGUUAUCCGGAAUUAUUGGGCGUAAAGAGCUCGUAGGCGGUUUGUCGCGUCUGCUGUGAAAACUGGAGGCUCAACCUCCAGCCUGCAGUGGGUACGGGCAGACUAGAGUGCGGUAGGGGAGAUUGGAAUUCCUGGUGUAGCGGUGGAAUGCGCAGAUAUCAGGAGGAACACCGAUGGCGAAGGCAGAUCUCUGGGCCGUAACUGACGCUGAGGAGCGAAAGGGUGGGGAGCAAACAGGCUUAGAUACCCUGGUAGUCCACCCCGUAAACGUUGGGAACUAGUUGUGGGGUCCAUUCCACGGAUUCCGUGACGCAGCUAACGCAUUAAGUUCCCCGCCUGGGGAGUACGGCCCGCAAGGCUAAACUCAAAGGAAUUGAC